UACAGAGGUCUCAAGCGUUGUUCGGAUUCAUUGGGCGUAAAGGGUGCGUAGGCGGCGGGGCAAGUCGGAUGUGAAAUCUCAGGGCUCAACCCUGAAACUGCAUUCGAUACUGCCUUGCUCGAGGACUGGAGAGGAGAUUGGAAUUCACGGUGUAGCAGUGAAAUGCGUAGAUAUCGUGAGGAAGACCAGUGGCGAAGGCGGGUCUCUGGACAGUUCCUGACACUGAGGCACGAAGGCCAGGGGAGCAAACGGG
rnacentral:rRNA from 1 species